rnacentral:rRNA from 1 species
UACAGAGACUGCAAGCGUUAUUCGGAUUCACUGGGCGUAAAGGGUGCGCAGGCGGUUGGGUGUGUCAGAUGUGAAAGCCCCGGGGCUCAACCUGGGAAUAGCAUUUGGGACUGUCGGGCUAGAGAUCGGGGAGAGGAGAGUGGAAUUCCCAGUGUAGAGGUGAAAUUCGUAGAUAUUGGGAGGAACACCAAUUGCGAAGGCAGCUCGCUGGGACGUUACUGACGC